rnacentral:rRNA from 1 species
AUGGCAAGCGAACGCNGGCGGCGUGCCUAACACAUGCAAGUCGANCGGACUAUAAGGAGGGGUAACUCUCUUUAUAGUUAGCGUCGAACGGGUGAGUAACAGGUGGGUAACCUACCCUCAGGAGGGGGAUAACUCGGGGAAACCUGCCUAGCUAAUACCCCAUAAGACCACGAGCUGAAAUGCUUGUGGUAAAAGAAGCAAAUCGCCUAAGGAUGGGCCGGCGCGGCCUAUCAGGUAGUAGGUAGGGUAAUGGCCUACCAAGCCUAUGACGGGUAGCCGAGCUGAGAGGCUGGCCGGCCACACUGGGACUGAGACACGGCCCAGACUCCUACGGGAGGCAGCAGUGGGGAAUAUGGGUGGGCGAAAGCCUGACCCACCGACGCCGCGUGGGGGAAGAAGGCCUUCGGGUUGUAAACCCCUUUUGCAGGGGACGACACAGGACGGUCCCCUGCGAAUAAGCCACGGCUAACUCUGUGCCAGCAGCCGCGGUAAGACAGAGGUGGCAAGCGNUGCUCGGAUUCACUGGGCUUAAAGCGGCGCGUAGGCGGCCUUGCAGGUCUAAGGUGGAAUUCCACAGCUUAACUGUCGAACUGCCUUUGUUAGUGGNUGGGA